rnacentral:lncRNA from 1 species
GCGGAUCAAAAGUCGCGCGACGCGUUUUUGUCGUCGCACGUCGACCUCGUCGCGGGCGUCGUCAACCUCGCCAAGAAGGUCCAGGCGGACGAGGACCUCGUCGCGCUCAUCAAGAAGAAGCACGCGAUCAAGUGCACGACGGGGUACUCCAUGAACGCGCUCGUGGACUUCCCGCCGGAGGACCCGAUCGAGAUCAUCAAGCGGCUCAUGAUCGGCAGCGAAGGCACGCUCGGGUUCGUGUCCAGGGCGACGUACAACACCGUGGUGGACCACCCGCACAAGGCGAGCGCGUUCAUCGUGUUUAAGGAUGUUCAGGAAGCGUGCCGCGCGGCGGCGGUGCUGCGGAGGGAGACGACCGUGGACGCGGUGGAGCUCUUCGACCGCGCGUCGCUGACGCAGUGCGAGGGACACGAGCAGAUCAUCGGGCUGGUGCCGACCAUCGCGGACGCGCCGAAGCGCGGCGCCGCGUUGCUCAUCGAGUGCCGCGGCGCGACGGACGAGGAGCUGGACGUCGCGAUUAAGGAGGUGUCCACGUCCCUGGACGGCGCGAACUUGGCGUACCUCAACGAUCGCGUGUCCACGUACCCGUUCAUGAAGGACGAGGCGGUGUACAAGGUGUACUGGGACGUGAGGAAAGGGCUGAUUCCCCUCGUCGGGUCUUCGCGCAGCGCGGGGACGUCGGUGCUCAUCGAGGACGUCGCGUGCGAGGUGGACAAGCUCGGGGACAUGACCCAGGACCUGAUCGACAUGUUCGAGCGGUUCGGAUACGACGACGCGUCGUGCAUGGGCCACGCGCUCGAGGGCAACUUGCACCUGGUGUUUUCGCAGGGCUUCCGGAACGACGAGGAAGUGAAGCGGUACGCCGCGAUGAUGGAGGAGAUGUGCGAGAUCGUCGCGACUAAAUACAAGGGAUCGCUCAAGGCGGAGCACGGCACGGGAAGGAACGUCGCGCCGUUCGUGGAGAUGGAAUGGGGGAACAAGGCGUACGAGCUCAUGUGGGAGCUCAAAGAGCUGUUCGACCCCGAGUACGUGUUGAACCCCGGGGUGAUUCUCUCCAGGGACAAGGACAUGCACCAGAAGUUUUUGAAGCCCAAGCCCGUGGCGGACCCGAUCGUGGACAUGUGCAUGGAGUGCGGUUUUUGCGAGAGCAACUGCCCCUCGCGCGAUCUGAGCCUCACGCCGAGGCAGCGCAUCACGGUGUACCGCGAAAUCUCGCGCCUGCAGGACAUGCCGACGCGUGACAACGCGCAGCAAGCGCGUCUGGACGAGUUUUUGGACAAGUUCACGUACGAGGGCGACGCGACGUGCGCCGCGGAUGGCAUGUGCCAGGUGAAGUGCCCCGUCGGCAUCAACACCGGCGAGCUCGUCAAGUCGAUCCGCGAGCGCGACCUGAAGAAGCAGUCCACGGCGACGUCGGGCGCCAACGCGCUCGCGAGGAACUUUGCCACGUUCCAGAGCGUCGUGCCCACGUUCCUGAACCUCGUGUCCGCCGCGCACGGCGUCCUCGGCGGCGGCGUGCUGAAGAGCGUCUCCGGCGCGUUGAACAAGGUUUCCGGGAACUUGAUCCCGGUGUGGAACGAGCACAUGCCCACGGGCGCGCCGUCGCUGCCGGCGCCGAACAUGCCGUCGUCGAGCGCGACGCAGCGCGCGGGGGUCCCUCGCAAGGUUGUCUACCUCCCAUCCUGCGUCACGAGGAUGAUGGGCCCGGCGAAGGGCGACUCUGCGUCCAUCGGCGGCGUCCCGGACGCGAUGAUGAGCAUCCUGAAAAAGGCGGAUUACGAGGUUGUGUACCCGGAGUCGCUCUCGUCGCAGUGCUGCGGCAUGCUCUUCAACUCCAGGGGGUUCAAAGCCACCGCCAGCGGCAAGGGCGAUGAC